AAGUCAGGCAACGAGCGAGACCCACGCCCACAGUUUGCCAGCGUACCCUCUGGAGUGACGGGUACACUGUGGGGACCGCGCUGCUAAAGCGGAGGAAGGAAUGGGCAACGGUAGGUCAGUAUGCCCCGAAUAUCCCGGGCUACACGCGAGCUACAAUGGUUGGGACAAUGGGUAUCGACACCGAAAGGUGAAGGCAAUCUCCUAAACCCAUCCGUAGUUCGGAUUGUGGGCUGCAACUCGCCCACAUGAAGCUGGAAUCUGUAGUAAUCGUGUCUCAAAAUGGCACGGUGAAUAUGUCCCUGCUCCUU
rnacentral:rRNA from 1 species